GGCCGCGUGGCGUAGUGGGUUAACGCCUGGCAGUGCACUGUUCUGGAGAGACAGCGCAAGGGGGUUCGAAUCCCUCCGCGACCA